rnacentral:rRNA from 1 species
UGCGUAACGCGUGGGAAUCUGCCCUUGGGUUCGGAAUAACGUUUGGAAACGGACGCUAAUACCGGAUGAUGACGAAAGUCCAAAGAUUUAUCGCCCAAGGAUGAGCCCGCGUAGGAUUAGCUAGUUGGUGGGGUAAAGGCCCACCAAGGCGACGAUCCUUAGCUGGUCUGAGAGGAUGAUCAGCCACACUGGGACUGAGACACGGCCCAGACUCCUACGGGAGGCAGCAGUAGGGAAUAUUGGACAAUGGGGGCAACCCUGAUCCAGCAAUGCCGCGUGAGUGAUGAAGGCCUUAGGGUUGUAAAGCUCUUUUACCCGGGAUGAUAAUGACAGUACCGGGAGAAUAAGCCCCGGCUAACUCCGUGCCAGCAGCCGCGGUAAUACGGAGGGGGCUAGCGUUGUUCGGAAUUACUGGGCGUAAAGCGCACGUAGGCGGCGAUUUAAGUCAGAGGUGAAAGCCCGGGGCUCAACCCCGGAACUGCCUUUGAGACUGGAUUGCUAGAAUCUUGGAGAGGCGGGUGGAAUUCCGAGUGUAGAGGUGAAAUUCGUAGAUAUUCGGAAGAACACCAGUGG